UACGUAGGGUGCGAGCGUUGUCCGGAAUUACUGGGAGUAAAGAGCUCGUAGGUGGUUUGUCACGUCGUCUGUGAAAUUCCGGGGCUUAACCUCGGGCGUGCAGGCGAUAAGGGCAAUACUUGAGUGCUGUAGGGGAGACUGGAAUUCCUGGUGUAGCGGUGAAAUGCGCAGAUAUCAGGAGGAACACCAAUGGCGAAGGCAGGUCUCUGGGCAGUUACUGACGCUGAGGAGCGAAAGCAUGGGUAGCGAACAGGAUUAGA
rnacentral:rRNA from 1 species